rnacentral:rRNA from 1 species
GCGAGAAUAUUCGACAAUGGACGAAAGUCUGAUCGAGCGACGCCGCGUGCAGGAUGAAGGCCUUCGGGUUGUAAACUGCUGUCACGCUAUAGGAAAAGCCUUCGGGCCGUGACCAAAGCGAGAGGAAGCACCGGCUAACUCCGUGCCAGCAGCCGCGGUAAGACGGAGGGUGCAAACGUUGCUCGGAAUCACUGGGCAUAAAGCGCACGUAGGCGGCCAACUAAGUCGGGUGUGAAAGCCCCCGGCUCAACCGGGGAAUAGCUCCCGAUACUGGUUGGCUCGAGGACGGUAGGGGUGAGUGGAACUCCAGGUGGAGCGGUGAAAUGCGUAGAUAUCUGGAGGAACACCGGUGGCGAAAGCGGCUCACUGGACCGUCUCUGACGCUGAGGUGCGAAAGCCAGGGUAGCGAACGGGAUUAGAUACCCUAGUAGUCCCUGAGCGGGCUGGCAAGGCGCAU